CCUACGGGAGGCAGCAGUAGGGAAUUUUGCGCAAUGGGCGUAAGCCUGACGCAGCAAAGCCGCGUGAUUGAUUAAGCCCUUCGGGGUGUAAAGAUCUGUCAGUGGGGACGAAACUUGACGGUACCCUCAGAGGAAGCACCGGUUAACUCCGUGCAAGCAGCCGCGGGAACACGGAGGGUGCAAGCGUUGUCCGGAAUCAUUGGGCGUAAAGAGUUUGUAGGUGGCAUAUUAAGUCUGGUGUUAAAUGCAGAAGCUCAACUUCUGUUCGGCAGUGGAAACUGGUAAGCUUGAAUGCGGUAGAGGUAAAGGGAAUGCCUGGUGUAGCGGUGAAAUGCGUAGAUAUCAGGAAGAACAUCGGUGGCGUAAGCGCUUUACUGGGCCGUAAUUGACACUGAGGAACGAAAGCCGGGGUAGCAAAUGGGAUUAGAUACCCUUGUAGUC
rnacentral:rRNA from 1 species